CCACGAACCGCACGAACGUUAUUCGGAAUCACUGGGCUUAAAGGGUGCGUAGGCGGUCCGGUAAGUUGGGUGUGAAAGCCCUCGGCUCAACCGAGGAAUUGCGCCCAAAACUACCGGACUUGAGGAAGACAGAGGUGAGCGGAACUUGCGGUGGAGCGGUGAAAUGCGUUGAUAUCGCAAGGAACACCAGUGGCGAAAGCGGCUCACUGGGUCUUUUCUGACGCUGAGGCACGAAAGCUAGGGGAGCGAACGGGAUUAGAAACCCUAGUAGUCC
rnacentral:rRNA from 1 species